rfam:Triticum aestivum genome assembly, contig: Triticum_aestivum_CS42_TGACv1_scaffold_515694_6BS
UAAAUACUCCCUCCGUCCCGAAAAUCUUGUCUUAGAUUUGUCUAGAUACGGAUGUAUCUAAUACUAAAAUGUAACUAGAUACAUCCGUAUCUAGACAAAUGUAAGACAAGAAUUUUGGGACGGAGGCAUUAUAAG